rnacentral:rRNA from 1 species
CAUCCGGUUGAUAUUCCGGAACCACCUGAGAUCGUUUGCACCGCAAGGUGUCGCCUGGGGGUAGGAGAACGGAGGUUGGCCGGCGAAAGCCGGUCGAGUCCCGGAUCCGAGCCCAGGUGAGAGCAAGGGCAUGACACGGUGUGGUAGUUCGAGCGCGUUUUGGCUAUACGCGUCUAAGCCGGUAGGGGGAGAGGACAGGCAAAUCCGUCCUCUCAUUCAACCCCGAGCAGCGAAUGAAAGGGGCGCAUGCCUCGAUUCGAGCGAGCCACGCUGGCAAGAAAAGUGUCUAGCGAGAUCAAUGGUGUCCGUACCGCAAUCCGACACAGGUAGGCGGGUAGAGAAUACCAAGGCGAUCGGGAGAACCCUCGUUAAGGAACUCGGCAACAUGGCCCCGUAACUUCGGGAUAAGGGGCGCUUCGCGGCUGCUGCUUGCAGUGGGCGAUCGAAGCCGCAGUGAAAAGGCCCAGGCGACUGUUUAGCAAAAACACAGGUCUCUGCGAAAGCGAAAGCUGACGUAUAGGGGCUGACGCCUGCCCAGUGCCGGAAGGUUAAGGGGAGAGGUCAGGAGGGAUCCGACGCUUUGAACCGAAGCCCCGGUGAACGGCGGCCGUAACUAUAACGGUCCUAAGGUAGCGAAAUUCCUUGUCGGGUAAGUUCCGACCCGCACGAAAGGUGUAACGAUCUGGGCGCUGUCUCAACGAGGGACUCGGUGAAAUUGAAUUAGGGGUGAAGAUGCCCUUUACCCGCGACCGGACUAAAAGACCCCGUGGAGCUUUACUACAUCUUGGCACUGGACUUGAGCCGAGCAUGUGUAGGAUAGGUGGGAGGCUAUGAAGCCGGAGCGCCAGCUUCGGUGGAGCCAACGGUGAAAUACCACUCUUGUUUGGUUUUGGUUCUAACUUGCCUUCGGGCGAGGACAGUGCCAGGUGGGUAGUUUGACUGGGGCGGUCGCCUCCUAAAAGGUAACGGAGGCUCCCAAAGGUUCCCUCAGCACGGAUGGAAAUCGUGCUUUGAGUGUAUUGGCAUAAGGAGGCUUGACUGUAAGACUCACAAGUCGAGCAGGGACGAAAGUCGGGCA